GCUGGGUAGCUAAGUUGGGACAGGAUAAGCGCUGAAAGCAUCUAAGCGCGAAGCCCCCUCCAAGAUGAGGAUUCAUUGAUCCCUCGGAGACUACGAGGUUGAUAGGCUUCAGGUGGAAGCCCCGUAAGGGGUGCAGCCGAGAAGUACUAAUGAUCAAC
rnacentral:rRNA from 1 species